GACGAACCGUGCGAACGUUAUUCGGAAUCACUGGGCUUAAAGCGCGCGUAGGCGGCGUCGUAAGUUGGAGGUGAAAUGCCACGGCUCAACCGUGGAAUUGCCUCCAAUACUGCGGUGCUUGAGGAAGGUAGGGGUCCGCGGAACUUCCGGUGGAGCGGUGAAAUGUGUUGAGAUCGGAAGGAACGCCAGCGGCGAAAGCGGCGGACUGGAUCUUUUCUGACGCUGAGGCGCGAAAGCUAGGGGAGCGAAC
rnacentral:rRNA from 1 species